CUGCUAGGUUCUGAGGACCUGUCUGUAUCUCUGCUAGGUUCUGAGGACCUGUCUGUAUCUCUGCUAGGUUCUGAGGACCUGUCUGUAUCUCUGCUAGGUUCUGAGGACCUGUCUGUAUCUCUGCUAGGUUCUGAGGACCUGUCUGUAUCUCUGCUAGGU